GCCGGAGGCCCUGCUCCAGCUCCAGUUUCUGAGAGAUUUCUGUGAACUCCUCGGUGACAAGCUGGGAGACUGAGCAUGUGCAGAAACAACAAUACAUUAGUACAUCCACAUUGGUCCACUUGGUAAGGUCCAUAACCACAAAGGUGAAAGUGAGAAGAUAUUUUCCAGAGAUAAUGAUGCAUAAAAUAGUUUUUUGACUUAAA